rnacentral:rRNA from 1 species
GAUGAACGCUAGCGGGAGGCCUAACACAUGCAAGCCGAGCGGUAGAGAUUCUUCGGAAUCUUGAGAGCGGCGUACGGGUGCGGAACACGUGUGCAACCUACCUUUAUCUGGAGGAUAGCCUUUCGAAAGGAAGAUUAAUACUCCAUAAUAUAUUGAUUGGCAUCAAUUGAUAUUGAAAGCUCCGGCGGAUAGAGAUGGGCACGCGCAAGAUUAGUUAGUUGGUGAGGUAACGGCUCACCAAGACGAUGAUCUUUAGGGGCCUGAGAGGGUGAUCCCCACACUGGUACUGAGACACGGACCAGACUCCUACGGGAGGCAGCAGUGAGGAAUAUUGGUCAAUGGGUGCAAGCCUGAACCAGCCAUCCCGCGUGAAGGACGACUGCCCUAUGGGUUGUAAACUUCUUUGUAUAGGGAUAAACCUACCCUCGUGAGGGUAGCUGAAGGUACUAUACGAAUAAGCACGGCUAACUCCGUGCCAGCAGCCGCGGUAAU